rnacentral:rRNA from 1 species
UGCGUAGGUGGCGCCGUAAGUCGGGUGUGAAAUUUCGGAGCUUAACUCCGAAACUGCAUUCGAUACUGCGGUGCUUGAGGACUGGAGAGGAGACUGGAAUUCAUGGUGUAGCAGUGAAAUGCGUAGAGAUCAUGAGGAAGACCAGUGGCGAAGGCGGGUCUCUGGACAGUUCCUGACACUGAGGCACCAAGGGGCCAGGGGAGGCAAACG